GGGUCAGUAGGUUGGUCGUGCCACCGGUACGUACUGGUCUCGCUGAUUCCUCCUUCCUGAAGAACCGUAAUGCCAUUAAUUUGGUGUUGCGGGGAAACAGGACUGUUACUUUGAAAAAAUUAGAGUGUUUAAGGCAAGCUAACGCUUGAAUACAUUAGCACGGAAUAAUGAAAUAGGACGAUCGAUCCUAUUUUGUUGGUUUCUAGGAUUGACGUA
rnacentral:rRNA from 1 species